CUAUUGUCCUAUGACCCUGCCAAAUCCCCCUCUGUGAGAAACACCCAAGAAUGGUCAAUAAAAAAUUAAAUAAAUAAAUAAAUAAAUAAAUAAAAAGUAUUUAUCCAGUAUUUUUUUUCCUUAGACUUACUGAAGCAAAAUGAAGACUUCCCACUAAGCUAAAUUUGUGUAUCAUAUAUUUCUGUCCCCUUUAUCCUCUAAAAUCUAAUUUCUCUUCACUCAUCCUAUAUAUCAAAUAGUAUAAGAAACGUAAUGAUACUAAAAGAUUAAAGAAUAUUCAGACGUGAUUUUUUCAGUCAAUGAUAAAGAAAUGGGUAAUCAAUAAUGAGCAAUUUGUAAGUGUACUAUAAUAGAAUUGCUGCAAAAACUGCUGUCUAUUGAGAAAACAUGCAUCCAACUAUUAAAGGUAAUUUAUAUUUAUAAAAUCAAAUUAAAUCCACUUGUAAAUGUAAGAGAAGCCUCAAAGGGCUUCAAUCAUUGUUACAACAGUUAUAAGAGGUAUUUCUAUAUUUGAGGUUGUAAAAUAAUAAUACUGAAUACUAUAUGCAAAGUCAGGAGCAAAUCAACAGUUCUAACAGUCUAACAGUGAUGUGUCAUUCUUACAUUACACAGUAAAUUGGAUCAUAGAGCAUGAAACAGAUUCAGGAAGAAUCAUCUCGGGUGUUCACAAUGACCAUUAAAAAUCUGUAGUUGAACUUAGUUUAAAUUAACUGUUUUCAAAAUUUGCCAUUUUCCACAACUCUUAUUUUUCUUGAUUCUGAGUCCUGAUCCUGUAAACUUGCAAUACUCUGUGGAAAGGAUUUCAAGAGAGAUAUACUUUUAUCUUUAAUAAGAACAUGAAUUAAACCAGAAAAAAAGGAAAUGAGUUGAAGGCCACUGCUGUGGCUACUGAAAUAAUUGAUGCAUUUUAUCUUAAUACUUGACUGGAAAUUUCCUGUUUCUUUGGUUUGUAUCUUGUUAUUAAUUUUUAUCAUUAAAAUGUAUAAUAGCUUUAUAGUAGCACAUAUCUAUGUUAUUUUUCUUCAUUAUUAAAAUUGAUUUGGCCAUUCUAAGUCUUUAUUUCAUGUAAAUUUUAGAAUUAGCAUGUCAACAUAUCCAAUCCUAAAAGACCUUCCUGAAUUUUGAUUAGGAGGGUAUUGAAUUUAUAGGUCUAUAAGGGAAGAAUUGCUAGCUUAACAAUAUUAAGUAUUCUAAUCCAUUAACAGAACAUACUUUUUAAUUGAUUUAGGCCUUCAUUAAUAUGUCUCAGCAAGGUUUUUUCAUUUUCUGUUAACAUGAGGAACGUCCUUUGACAUUCAUUGUAUUGAUUUUUCUGGUACUAAAUUUUCUCAGAUCUUUUUGUCUGUUGUCUGAAUACAUCUUUAUUUUACCUUAAGUUUUGAUUAAUAUUUUCAAAGGAUGUGGAUCCCAUGUUGACAGCUUUUGCCUUCAAGUACUCUAAUAAUGUCUUAUGACUGUCUUCUGGCUUACAUAAUGUCUUAUGAGAAGUCUGCAAGUAUCCUUAUCUUUGUGAUAAUGAGUCCUUUUCC
rnacentral:lncRNA from 10 species